UUUAGAAAACCAAUUAUAAUAAACCCAAAACUAUGGUUUUGAAGCCUCUUUACGAUUCGCUUAUAUAUAUUCUUAAUGCUUCUUUCAUUGUUUGUUCAUAUAUGUAUCUAUGCAUUUUGUAUUUCAGUUGUUAUUAUGACUUACUCUUGCUAGUCUCUGCGAAACUUGCCGUGUGGUUACAAUGCACACCAACUGUUCGAUGAAAAGAACUUCUAUAACAACACUAGGAUACAUGCAUGCAUGGUAUAAUUGAAUGGAAGUACGGUAUAUUGGAAAAUAGAAUUCCUUUUUGAAAAAAAAAACCCUUUUGAAAGUAAUCAAAUCCUAAUCCCUGGAUACGAUAAAUGCUCUGGGUUAUCAAAGGUAAAAGCAGCAACAUUCUUGUUGAAAAUGGACUCUGCGUCUGCGUGGUUGUGCUCUGAUUGAGAUUGGUAGAGGGUAUUUCUGCAGCCAUGUCUGCGACCAAGAUUCGGACAAGUUGCUUCUCUCCCAACUUUGUAGCUUCAAACUCACCUCAAAUCCCUGGACUCAAGCAUGGUCCCAUGGCACAAUGUUCAUUUCAUCUGGGAUACUGGACCUUGACAGUAAUCUUCUAUCACUAAUAGUUUAUCGGGAAUAGUUAAACCAAGCUGAGAGAUUUUAGGUGGUGGGCUUUCCCUAGGAAGCCUAGUCAUGGUGAUGGAAGAUGCAGAAGUACCUCAUCAUAUGCUUUUGAUUAGAAAUUUUAUGUCUCAAGGACUCGUUCACAACCAACCCCUUCUCUAUGCAAGCCCAUCCAAGGACCCAAGACAGUUUCUCGGUACUUUGCCU